rnacentral:rRNA from 1 species
UACGUAGGGUGCGAGCGUUGUCCGGAAUUAUUGGGCGUAAAGAGCUCGUAGGCGGUUUGUCGCGUCGGCCGUGAAAACUUGGGGCUUAACCCUGAGCCUGCUUCCGAUACGGGCAGACUAGAGGUAUGCAGGGGAGAACGGAAUUCCUGGUGUAGCGGUGAAAUGCGCAGAUAUCAGGAGGAACACCGGUGGCGAAGGCGGUUCUCUGGGCAUUACCUGACGCUGAGGAGCGAAAGUGUGGGGAGCGAACAGG